rnacentral:rRNA from 1 species
GAUGAACGCUGGCGGCGUGCUUAACACAUGCAAGUCGAACGGAAAGGCUCCUGCUUGCCGGGGUACUCGAGUGGCGAACGGGUGAGUAACACGCGGGUGUACUGCCCUGCACUUCGGGAUAAGCCUGGGAAACUGGGUCUCAUACCGGAUAGGACGAUGGUUUGGAUGUCAUUGUGGAAAGUUUUUUCGGUGUGGGAUGAGCUCGCGGCCUAUCAGCUUGUUGGUGGGGUAAUGGCCUACGAAGGCGUCGACGGGUAGCCGACCUGAGAGGGUGUACGGCCACAUUGGGACUGAGAGACGGCCCAGUCGCCUACGGGAGGCAGCAGUGGAGAAUAUGGCGCAAUGGGCGCGAGCCUGAGACAGCGGCGCCGCGUGGGGGAUGACGGCCUUCGGGUUGUAAACUCCUUUCGCUAGGGACGAAGCGCAAGUGACGGUACCUGGAGAAGAAGCACCGGCUAACUACGUG